UCUACGGGGCUUGAGGCGAACAGUUCGCUAGAUAUUGCCACAAGAUGGCCGGGAAAGAGACCUUCUUCUCUUCCGGCGCGAUUGGACAUCCGGGACUUUUACUCGGGUGCCGUAUGGGGGUUGUAGUCCCAUUAAGAGAUUUGCUUUAACAGUUUUGCGUGACAUCACCUGCAUGGCCUGUCAGAUUGCAGGGACCCUGUGGGUCUUACCAUUGGAGGAGGGGGGGAGGGUCAUGGGCAGGUGGUUGCUUCCGAGGUGUUUGUCAGCAAAUAAACCAUGAACUACUCUUGAAGCUGAGUCAUGAAAAUCCCCAUGUUGUGCUCACAGCCUUCAGAUGUGCCUUGGUCCGACUCAAACUGGAAUGAAGACGCCAGAGUGAUUUUCUUCUGUUCUUAAUCUACUGAAGCAAGGGAACCAUUUAGAUCUUUUUUCUUUCACACCGAAGCAACGACCUAAUGUGCCGUUAAUGUGAAUACGUCAUCAAGCUCAGUAUGAAAGGGGGGACACAAGUUACUCUAAGUAGGUUUCGAUCAAGGAACCUCAUUGGUUACGAUCAAUGGCGCUCUAGUACUACAGUAGCCACUGAGGACAACAGAACGGCUCUUCUUCUCUGUAGAUAUUGGCAAUGACUUCUAGCCCUCUUAGCCAUAAAUUCCGUUCUUCUCGAUCACAAAGAUGCUUGAACAUGAUUGCACCCCAUAUGUAGUUGCAUUAAGCCUUCAUUAGGUAACUUAGUAAAGAAAAUAAAUCCUAUAAAGUCUACGACUGCCUGACCAAACACCAGAGUGUUCGUAACAUCCACCAUGUUGAAUAUCCAGUGUAAACAAACUUUGAAAUGUACGCUUUUAAUGAUGUUGAAAUGUGACAAUCCUGUUCAGCGGUGAUGUCUGUGGAAGUAAGCUUGCUGACCCGGGUCUUGUGUGAACGGCCAGGACCUGGUACUUACUCAAGACUAUAGUGUGGUGUGAAUGAGUCAAACAUGUUUUGAAUCCAUGUUCAAAAGCCUGUGUCAAGCCUGAGUUUUGUGUGUGAAUGAGGUAUUAGAGAGAAUGUAAAAUCAUUCAUUAAGGUCACGGAGUGAGAAAACGAGUGGUGGCGUCCUCCCACGUUACUCAGUCUGGUUUAGGUACUGUCCAUGGGCACGUGUGUCCUGCUCUUCCUCUUCUAUCUUCUUCCUCACAUUGCUCUCCAGCUCCAGCAGCUGUUUGUAGAGGGCCUCUGACAUGUCUUCAUCCAUGUCCAUCUGAAAGAAAACAAGAAAAGUGGAAGUUUAUGAAAUUUAGGGAGUUACCCACAGUCAAGAUUCUUUGACUUUCCAUGAUUUAAAUACUAAGCCCUGAGAGGUUUUGAGAAUGAGAACAGGCCAAUCAAGGCCAGUCAUUCUGGCCAAGGACUACAUAACAUCUAGCACCCCAUUUUCAUAAGAGGCAUCCUCGUUUUGUCCAAGAUCUCGACCCAAUGCAAUCGGGUGAGACGGCCCUUUCUCAGGGAAGGGGAGGAAUGAGAAGCGUUAAAGACAGGCGGCAGUUUCGUAUGUGCACACCUUACGGGGCUGUGUGUAGUUGUUUCCAAACCCAGAUGUCAGGCUGUGGUACUUGGCAAGUGGGUCCAAUGACUCCGGUUUCUGAAGAAACAACCAGCUCUGUGAAACAAAAAUAGAGCAUGGACAUUUUAAAAGCAAUAAUCAUAAUCAAAAUAAGCAUUUUUACUUUCAACAUUGCUGCUAUUAUUGCCUUUUGCUUUUCAUAUUCUGUUGCUCCUGUUACUUGUCAUGCUGCUGCUGACAAACCUAUUUCCCCAUGGGAUUAAUAAAGAUGUCUGUCAGUCCA